rnacentral:rRNA from 1 species
GGGGAAAUAUAGCUUGCUAUAUGACCUAGCGGCGGACGGGUGAGUAAAGCUUAGGAAUCUGCCUAUUAGUGGGGGACAACAUUUCGAAAGGGAUGCUAAUACCGCAUACGCCCUACGGGGGAAAGCAGGGGAUCUUCGGGCCUUGCGCUAAUAGAUGAGCCUAAGUCGGAUUAGCUAGUUGGUGGGGUAAAGGCCUACCAAGGCGACGAUCUGUAGCGGGUCUGAGAGGAUGAUCCGCCACACUGGGACUGAGACACGGCCCAGACUCCUACGGGAGGCAGCAGUGGGGAAUAUUGGACAAUGGGGGGAACCCUGAUCCAGCUAUGCCGCGUGUGUGAAGAAGGCCUUUUGGUUGUAAAGCACUUUAAGCGAGGAGGAGGCUCCUGUAGAUAAUACCUACAGUGAGUGGACGUUACUCGCAGAAUAUGCACCGGCUAACUCUGUGCCAGCAGCCGCGGUAAUACAGAGGGUGCGAGCGUUAAUCGGAUUUACUGGGCGUAAAGCGUGCGUAGGCGGCUGAUUAAGUCGGAUGUGAAAUCCCUGAGCUUAACUUAGGAAUUGCAUUCGAUACUGGUCAGCUAGAGUAUGGGAGAGGAUGGUAGAAUUCCAGGUGUAGCGGUGAAAUGCGUAGAGAUCUGGAGGAAUACCGAUGGCGAAGGCAGCCAUCUGGCCUAAUACUGACGCUGAGGUACGAAAGCAUGGGGAGCAAACAGGAUUAGAUACCCUGGUAGUCCAUGCCGUAAACGAUGUCUACUAGCCGUUGGGGUCUUUGAGACUUUAGUGGCGCAGCUAACGCGAUAAGUAGACCGCCUGGGGAGUACGGUCGCAAGACUAAAACUCAAAUGAAUUGACGGGGGCCCGCACAAGCGGUGGAGCAUGUGGUUUAAUUCGAUGCAACGCGAAGAACCUUACCUGGUCUUGACAUAGUAGAAACUUUCCAGAGAUGGAUUGGUGCCUUCGGGAAUCUACAUACAGGUGCUGCAUGGCUGUCGUCAGCUCGUGUCGUGAG